GCGCCUUGGGGGAAACCAAAGGACUUCUGCACCGUUUCCCGAGGACAGUUUGGCAGUGUUUCAGAAGGGCCUUAGUACCAGGCAGGCCCCCUUCUAGGAUGGUGGAAAGCCUAAAGAUCUGAAAACGGUGUCAAGUGUCGUCUUAGCGAUUGGCUGACUAAACCGAAUGCAAGCCGGAGACUGCACACGAUGUUGCCUGGGCCGGGCAGUCCGAGGCGGGCGGAUCACCUGAGGUCAGGAGUUCAAGAACAACCUGGCCAACAUGGCAUGAAGAACUCUUGACUGAUAGAGGGUGUGUCCAAAGUUUUCAGGACGGCCCAGCGGCGCUCCAAAACCCUCCUCACAGCCUCGCCCCUUUCGCCUCAGCCACAACAGAUCAUCGUCAACCUGUUCCACCUUCUCCAGUCUGGUAGCAAAAAGGGGUGUCUCAGAAUCUCCGGCCUGUGAAACCGUGAGGGGAUUCGGCC
rnacentral:sRNA from 1 species